rnacentral:rRNA from 1 species
GACGAACGCUGGCGGCGUGCCUAAUACAUGCAAGUGGGACGCACGAGGUACACCGUAGUUUACUACAUCGUACUUUGUGAGUCGCGAACGGGUGAGUAACGCGUAGGUAACCUACCUUUUAGCGGGGGAUAACUAUUGGAAACGAUAGCUAAUACCGCAUAAGAUAUCUUACUGCAUGGUAAGAUAUUAAAAGAUGCAACUGCAUCACUAAGAGAUGGACCUGCGUUGUAUUAGCUAGUAGGUGAGGUAACGGCUCACCUAGGCAACGAUACAUAGCCGACCUGAGAGGGUGAUCGGCCACACUGGGACUGAGACACGGCCCAGACUCCUACGGGAGGCAGCAGUAGGGAAUCUUCGGCAAUGGGGGGAACCCUGACCGAGCAACGCCGCGUGAGUGAAGAAGGUUUUCGGAUCGUAAAGCUCUGUUGUAAGAGAAAGAAACGAGUGUGAGAGUGGAAAAG